GAUGAACGCUGGCGGCGUGCCUAAUACAUGCAAGUCGAGCGAACAGACGAGGAGCUUGCUCCUCUGACGUUAGCGGCGGACGGGUGAGUAACACGUGGAUAACCUACCUAUAAGACUGGGAUAACUUCGGGAAACCGGAGCUAAUACCGGAUAAUAUAUUGAACCGCAUGGUUCAAUAGUGAAAGACGGUUUUGCUGUCACUUAUAGAUGGAUCCGCGCCGCAUUAGCUAGUUGGUAAGGUAACGGCUUACCAAGGCAACGAUGCGUAGCCGACCUGAGAGGGUGAUCGGCCACACUGGAACUGAGACACGGUCCAGACUCCUACGGGAGGCAGCAGUAGGGAAUCUUCCGCAAAGGGCGAAAGCCUGACGGAGCAACGCCGCGUGAGUGAUGAAGGUUUUCGGAUCGUAAAACUCUGUUAUUAGGGAAGAACAAAUGUGUAAGUAACUAUGCACGUCUUGACGGUACCUAAUCAGAAAGCCACGGCUAACUACGUG
rnacentral:rRNA from 1 species